GGCCCGCUAGCUCAAUUUGGCAGAGCAGGGGACUCUUAAUCCCUUGGUUGUAGGUUCAAGUCCUACGCGGGUCA
rnacentral:tRNA from 1 species